rnacentral:rRNA from 1 species
UCGCAUCCUGGGGCUGAAGAAGGUCCCAAGGGUUUGGCUGUUCGCCAAUUAAAGCGGUACGUGAUCUGGGUUCAGACCGUCGUAAGACAGGUCGGUCCUUAUCCGCUGUAGGCGUAGGGUAUUUGAGAGAGCUUGUCCUUAGUACGAGAGGACCGGGAUGAGUAAACCUCUGGUGUUCCAGUUGUUCCCCAAGAGCAACGCUGGGUAGCCAAGUUUAUAAGAGAUAACCGCUGAAAGCAUCUAAGUGGGAAACUCGUCUCAAGAUAAGAUACCCCGUGGGUCGUAAGAUUCACAUUAAGACUCCUUGUAGACUAUGAGGUUGAUAGGCUGGAUGUGUAAGUACAGUAAUGUAUUGAGCUAACCAGUACUAAUAAGUCGAAUGUUUUAGUCAU